CCUACGGGAGGCAGCAGUGGGGAAUCUUGCGCAAUGGGCGAAAGCCUGACGCAGCGACGCCGCGUGGGUGAUGAAGGCCUUCGGGUUGUAAAGCCCUGUGGGGAGGGAAGAAUAGGCGGCGGCCAAUACCCGCCGCGAUGACGGUACCUCCUUAGCAAGCACCGGCUAACUCUGUGCCAGCAGCCGCGGUAAGACAGAGGGUGCGAACGUUGUUCGGAAUUACUGGGCGUAAAGCGCGUGUAGGCGGUCAUGCAAGUCGGGGGGAAAAUCCCUGGGCUCAACCGAGGAAGUGCGCCCGAAACUGCGCGACUUGAGUUCCGGAGAGGAUGGUGGAAUUCUCGGUGUAGAGGUGAAAUUCGUAGAUAUCGAGAGGAACACCGGUGGCGAAGGCGGCCAUCUGGACGGAAACUGACGCUGAGACGCGAAAGCGUGGGUAGCAAACAGGAUUAGAUACCCCUGUAGU
rnacentral:rRNA from 1 species